rnacentral:rRNA from 1 species
AUUGAACGCUGGCGGCAGGCCUAACACAUGCAAGUCGAACGAGUGGCGGACGGGUGAGUAAUGUCUGAGAAACUGACUGAUGGAGGGGGAUAACUACGGGAAACGGUAACUAAUAACGCAUACCAUCGGAUGUGCCAAAUGGGGAUUAGCUAGGAGGUGGGGUAAAGGCUCACCGAGGCGACGAUCCCUAGCUGGUCUGAGAGGAUGACCAGCCACACUGGAACUGAGACACGGUCCAGACUCCUACGGGAGGCAGCAGUGGGGAAUAUUGCACAAUGGGCGCAAGCCUGAUGCAGCCCUGCCGCGUGUAUGAAGAAGGCCUUCGGGUUGUAAAGUACUUUCAGCGGGGAGGCGUUACCCGCAGAAGAAGCACCGGCUAACUCCGUGCCAGCAGCCGCGGUAAUUC